AGCACAAAGGAUGGAGAACAACAGCAACAGCCAGCCUCCACCCCCAGGCUACCCGACUUCGGCAGGUGCAGAACAGCAGGGAGGGAAGAAGUCGCGCCAGGGGAAGACAACCUCACGCGGAGAGAAAGGCUUCGUUGAAGGAUGACAUGAUGAACGCCUGCUCUCAGAUGGGGGCGUGGAGAUAUGCAUACGCAUGCAUGACGACGCAGCUGUUGUUGUUCAGUGUUUACCGGGUUGUAUUAGUUUAGGGAGCUCAAUAACUGAAACGAUGUACUGCCAGCGUUGUGAUAUACGUGCUUCGUGUGUAUGCAUCGUGUAUUGUACGUAUUGACGGUUCCGUGAGUCGUUUACAUACGUGAACCUUGUAUGUUUUACUUGAAAAAACGAUGUCUGUUGUA